rnacentral:lncRNA from 1 species
CAUUUAUGUUUGCUUGUGUGUGUGGAGAACUGUUGGGGUUUUUUUUUGUUCCUUACCAGUACCACAUGGUGCACCUGUAUAGUGUUGUAGUGACUGAGAAUGUAAGACAGGCUGUACGGGUCCACAGGAGUGUGUGCAGUGUUGGGAAGGGUACAGUUGUACCUAUAGGUGUUUGAAGUGCCAGUACCAGGUGUCCAUGUUUCAGCUACAGAACCAUGGGAUGUAGACAAGGUGCAGCAGAGGUGGGCUUUGCAACACCGACUCCAGUGUACGCAUCACCACACAAAAGGCAUCACGGCUGCUGGACAAGUUGACCUCUUCCAGUUUGGACACCUGUUGCCAGCCAUCUGCUACAUGUGACAAGACAAGUGGGUUUGGGCCAAAUGAAC